UAGAUGCGAGAGUAGAGCAUAUCAAUAAGCGGAGGAAAAGAAACUAACAAGGAUUCCCUUAGUAACGGCGAGUGAAGCGGGAAGAGCUCAAAUUUGAAAUCUUCAAGGUUUUACCUUGACGAAUUGUAGUUUAAAGAAGUGUUUUCUGUUGAAGUUUUGGUAAAAGUUCUUUGGAAUAGGACAUCAUAGAGGGUGAGAAUCCCGUAUUUGACCAUUAUUUUCAGCUGUGUGAUACACUUUCAAAGAGUCGGAUUGUUUGGGAAUGCGGUCCAAAAUGGGUGGUAAAUUUCAUCUAAAGCUAAAUAUUGGCGAGAGACCGAUAGCGAACAAGUACCGUGAGGGAAAGAUGAAAAGAACUUUGAAAAGAGAGUUAAACAGUACGUGAAAUUGUCAAAAGGGAAGCGUUUGACACCAGUGUUGGUUUCUCGAAAAUCGAUUAAAAAAGGCGUGAUUCUGUGUUGUAUUGACCUUAAAAGCUUUCUUCACUCUUUUCAUGUCUUUUUUAAUGCACUUUUCGUUUAACAAGUCAACAUCAGUUCCUUUUGUUGUAAAAAGGUCAUUGGAAGGUGGCUUUCUUUUCAGAGAAAGUGUUUAUAGCCUUUGACUUCUGCAAUCGGAGAGACUGAGGUCUGCAGCGUAGAUCCUUCGGGGCUAGAUACGUAGAUGCUAAGUUAUAGUUUUUUAUAGACAACUUGUUGACUAUAAUUAAUCAUGUAGCUUACUCGUUUGCGCUAUUUUACCUACGCUUAGGAUGUUGAAGAUGUAGCACAUCAU
rnacentral:rRNA from 1 species